CUCUCUCUCGACCUCUCUCCCUCCAGUCUCCCCCUCCAUACUCUAUAUAUACAACGCAUCCUUCAGAACCAGAACAAGCAAAAUGGGAAACGACGAGGCAAUAUUUUUCACCACACCAGUAACCAAAAAUCCCACAAUACUGACCGGAGAUUUUGAAGAAGAAGCUCAGGAUUAGAUUUUGUGAAAAAUGGAGAAUCAAAGUCAUUUCCAAUGUUGAAACUUAUAUUUCAUUUGAAACAUUGAAUGGCAAUCUCAUUCAGGGCCUAUUGGCAGCAGAAGCAGAGUUUAGAGCGCUACAGAGUGAUUUAAAUCCAAUAUUUCUAUUACCAUUUUCAAUACGAGUUAUAUAUUUGUUGUUACAUGUAUUGAAAAUGGUAAUAAGAAUAUUAAAUUUAAUCUGAAUUCUACAUCGGGUAUAUAUUUGUUGUGAGUUUUAUAUGUACCACUCGCAAUCAUGGUGGACAUGUGAUGAAGUGCUAACAAGCAGACCAAACUUGAAGAGGGUAGAGUUGGUUCGUGAGCAGACCAAACUUGCGCUGGCAGCGCUUAAAUCAGCAGAGCAUUAGAUUUCUGAUCAGAUAUGCAUUUUGGAAAUUGACAAGCGGAAAACAUUUCAUUGAAUGAAAUACAAGAUUUAUUUGCUUGCCUGCAUGGAUGUACGUAAUACGUGUAACAUCAGUAGAGUGUGAUUGAAUGAAGAUCAUGGUGGACAGUUAACAAGCAGCGGAACUGUUGGUUGAGCAAAGAAUGCGGUUUUGAUUCUUGAUAUGUUUACCUGAAGUAUUAAGAUUAUAUCCUAAUCUUAUGCAUUGGUUACCCAAGUUGGUCAGGUUGAUAGACAAAUCUGGUCAAUAGCCACGUUGGGUUGGGGAGGGGGAAAUGCAUUUUUCUCGGUUGUUCGCCCAGGGGAGGUGUGGAUGAGUUUGUUGGGCAUAUUAAGGAAGGGACGUCUUUAGGUGGAGUGAAAGCAUUUGACAAUACAUAAAAUAUUGAAUUAAUGAUUGAUUAAUUGGAGAGCUCCUGUAGCAUUGAUUAAUUGUCUGAAACAGUGUUGCCCUGUUAUUGAAGGUUAGAUUGUUUUCCACUUGAGGGAAGAUUUAUUGACUGAACCAGCAGGGAGAUUUGAUUUAGUUCAAGUUGAAGGUAAUAAAAGAAAAAGGUAGGUUUAGAUAGAAUGUUGGCAAAAGAAAUAGGGAAGGAACAACCGCAUGUGGUUUAUCAUGGGAUAUGACACUAAUUAGAGUUUAAUGAUAAUAAGAAGUUUACAUACCCAACCCCAAGGUGACAUCAUAAAUAUUUGGUUAGCAAUUUGCGGUUCUUGCAUAGGGCGCAUUGUCAUGCAACAACAACUUGAUAAUAUAAUAAUCAUUAUUAAUAAUAGUAGUAGUUUGCAAUUGCUAUGAUUAAUUUUGCUGGAUCUUAGGUUAUUGUUGGUUUUCUUAAUAUGUUGGAACUUUGGAAUUGUACAGUUCCCAUAAAUGUUCCAUUUUUUUGCUCAUGGUGUUAUAUUUAUUAAAAUGCUUGAUUAAAAUUGAUUAAUUAGCCUAAUUAGUCUUUAAUGAGAUUUUUUUUUUUUGAAAUCUAAAAUUUAUUAGAUCUCUCUCUUCUUCCCCCCCUUCUUUGUCCCUCUUUUCUAUUGUGGUCCUUUAUAUUUUGAAAAUAUUUUGUGAUGUAAUUGAAGGAACAGCUUAAUUAUUGUUUGGUGAAUUUAACUUUUUUCUUAUAGUUACAUAAAAUAUAAUAUCUAGCUUGGUUGUUUAGAUGGAGUGAAAGAUCAAAUGUGGUCAUACAUUAUGACUUGGGGUUCUUCCGACUGUUUCUAUCCCAUAAUAAAUGAUGUUUUUAUGGUGUGCUAUUCUGAAUUUAGGUGUUGGUAAAAUCAUAUUGUGUAACUGUAAAACAGUUUUAAAGGCCUCAUCUCCAUCCCUGCUUAACGUUUUACUUUUAUUCAAUUUGCUCUUACAAGUAAUCAUGAGUUUGUAGUUCUAUCUUUCUUAUCCUACUCUGAAAUAUUGCCUGUGGAAUAUCUUUUGAUUGCGACUUCUUACUUUAUUUACUUUAGAUUUGUUGUUGUGGCUUGAUAAUCUGACCUUGACUACCAUAACUGUAUUAUUAUUUGUUUCACUACUGCUUAGUAUCAUGGGAAAUAUUUCAUAUUACAAUUGACUUGACAUAUUGCUGUUAUCAAUUUGCUUGGAAAUUUUGUUUUGUGGUCUUUGACAUUGGUACAUGGUCGUUUAGGACAAGAUUUUUUCAUGGGCUUUUGGAUGUGAAACCAUUUAUUCCUUUAAUUUGAAAUAUCCCUGAAGUUCUGAACUAUGUAGGUUGGCGGAUAAACUAUGGGGUUUCAUUUGUUUAUAUAUGUAUGUUUAAGACAUGUAAUACUGAUGGGGUGAUUAAAUGAUGGUGAUUGUGGUCAUGAAUUGUGGAAAAUUAACAAGCAUGAAAACAGUUCAUUGAAUUUUAUUUGUUUGCCUACAUGGAUGUAUGUAUUACAUCUCAUACUGGUAGAGAGAUUGAAUGAAAGAUGAUGGUGGGCAUUUAUGAUAAAGUGGUAACAAUUAGUUGAACUUUGGUUGAAGAAAAAUGAGUUUUGAUUCUUGAUUGGUUUACCUUAAGUAUCAAAGAUUAAGUCCUAAUCUGUUGCAUAGGUUAUUUGAGUUGAGUUUUGAUUCUUGAUUGGUAUUCUUGAUUGUUGUUCUUCCAGGAGAGGUGUGGAUGAGUUUUUGGGCAUAUUCAAUGGGUUUAAAUUAUGUAUAACUAAGGAAGAAUUUCUAUAGAAUUUUAAUUUUUUGGCUAACGGGUUCCGCAGAAUAUAUGACCCAUGCUCCUUUAGUUUCUAAACGAGGGACCUAAGAACAUAAUUUCCUUUUGCAAUUGAUACGUUGAUACUUGUGUAUUGUGAGAGCUUUUAUCUUUUUUUGUGUAAUUUCCUUUUGCAAUUAACAUAAUUUCCUUUUGCAAGAGAAGAAGAAUAUAGCGAAACAUCACCCUCGGAACUAUUGUAAGAUCUUUAUCUUUCUGUUUUUUCAGGGUCGGAUGUGAGUUAGAGAUAUGAAGUGGAAGAACGCUUGCUCCUAUGAAGGCACGAACUCUGUAGGCAAGAAAACAAAAAAAAAAUGAACAUCUAUGCAAUUAUGAAUUAGAAAGCAAUAAAAAGAUAGUGGCUCUUUUGUACGGAAUGUGGCUGCAUUUAGCAUA